rnacentral:sRNA from 1 species
AAUAUGUGUUUUAAGA